UACGGGGGGAGCAAGCGUUGUUCGGAUUUACUGGGCGUAAAGGGCGCGUAGGCGGCGUGACAAGUCACUUGUGAAAUCUCCGGGCUUAACUCGGAACGGUCAAGUGAUACUGUCGUGCUAGAGUACAGAAGGGGCAACUGGAAUUCUCGGUGUAGCGGUGAAAUACGUAGAUAUCGAGAGGAACACCUGCGGCGAAGGCGGGUUGCUGGGCUGAUACUGACGCUGAGGCGCGAAAGCUAGGGGAGCGAACGGG
rnacentral:rRNA from 1 species